GCCCCAGUAGCCCAAUUGGCAGAGGCAGCGGACUUAAAAUCCGCAUGUUGUGGGUUCGAGUCCCACCUGGGGCA
rnacentral:tRNA from 1 species